rnacentral:rRNA from 1 species
GACGAACGCUGGCGGCGUGCCUAAUACAUGCAAGUCGAACGCUUCUUUCCUCCCGAGUGCUUGCACUCAAUUGGAAAGAGGAGUGGCGGACGGGUGAGUGACACGUGGGUAACCUACCCAUCAGAGGGGGAUAACACUUGGAAACAGGUGCUAAUACCGCAUAACAGUUUAUGCCGCAUGGCAUAAGAGUGAAAGGCGCUUUCGGGUGUCGUUGAUGGAUGGACCCGCGGUGCAUUAGCUAGUUGGUGAGGUAACGGCUCACCAAGGCCACGAUGCAUAGCCGACCUGAGAGGGUGAUCGGCCACACUGGGACUGAGACACGGCCCAGACUCCUACGGGAGGCAGCAGUAGGGAAUCUUCGGCAAUGGACGAAAGUCUGACCGAGCAACGCCGCGUGAGUGAAGAAGGUUUUCGGAUCGUAAAACUCUGUUGUUAGAGAAGAACAAGGACGUUAGUAACUGAACGUCCCCUGACGGUAUCUAACCAGAAAGCCACGGCUAACUACGUG